rnacentral:rRNA from 1 species
CCUACGGGUGGCUGCAGUGGGGAAUAUUGGACAAUGGGGGGAACCCUGAUCCAGCCAUGCCGCGUGUGUGAAGAAGGCCCUCGGGUUGUAAAGCACUUUCAGUGAGGAAGAACGCCUGGUGGUUAAUACCCAUCAGGAAAGACAUCACUCACAGAAGAAGCACCGGCUAACUCCGUGCCAGCAGCCGCGGUAAUACGGAGGGUGCGAGCGUUAAUCGGAAUUACUGGGCGUAAAGCGCGCGUAGGUGGCUUGAUAAGCCGGUUGUGAAAGCCCCGGGCUCAACCUGGGAACGGCAUCCGGAACUGUCAAGCUAGAGUGUAGGAGAGGAAGGUAGAAUUCCCGGUGUAGCGGUGAAAUGCGUAGAGAUCGGGAGGAAUACCAGUGGCGAAGGCGGCCUUCUGGACUGACACUGACACUGAGGUGCGAAAGCGUGGGUAGCAAACAGGAUUAGAUACCCUUGUAGUC